rnacentral:misc_RNA from 1 species
AGCAGCCGCGGUAAUUCCAGCUCCAAUAGCGUAUAUUAAAGUUGUUGCAGUUAAAAAGCUCGUAGUUGAAUUUCGGGAUUAACGUAAUGGUCGUGCCUUAAGGGGUAUGAACUGUUACUGUUGAUUUCUCACCUUCUGGAGAAUCUUGAUGUCCUUAAUUGGGUGUCUUGUGGAUCCAGGACCUUUACCUUGAAAAAAUUU